rnacentral:rRNA from 1 species
UGGUGGAGUGAUUUGUCUGGUUAAUUCCGAUAACGAACGAGACCUUAACCUGCUAACUAGUCUUGCUCAUUGCAUGGGUACAGACUUCUUAGAGGGACUAUGUGGGAAAACACAUGGAAGUUUGAGGCAAUAACA